ensembl:lncRNA
CUCCUGCUCGCUUUCCAGAGCCGCCCACCGACUUUUAACAUGCACACACUGGAACAAAUCCGGGCCCCCAAGGCAUCUGUCCCCUCCUGUUCUUCCAGCUGGCCUCCUUGCCACGUGCACACCCUGCCCGGAACCGGGCCCAGCUGCUUGCCGCUCGCCUGCCCACUUCCGUUUCCAGGAAGGGUUCCGGAGGCUGGCGGAGCAGGGGGCGGAGUGAUUGAUGACAGCGCGCGUGCCCCUGAACUCCUCAUCAAAGUUCUUCUACAGGGUUGGCAGCCCUGUGCUGAAAGCUGCUCUGUAGCUGAGGCGGCAUAUGGACUGCUGACAGAGCAGCUGCUGGGGAAGAAGACGCUGAAAGGAAGCCUCUAGGGAUAAACAGAGAAACCCAUGGCACCACGUGGCACCCAAGGCAGAAUUCUCAUCCCCUUCACGGUGGAUCAGUUGCCUCAUUUGGGGAUCUGGACCUUCCAGACAUGUAUACAGAAACCAAGAGCCCAUUCAUCACAUUGAAAGCUGAUAGCUGACAGAGAUUCAAUCCCAUCUUGAAGCUGGAAACUUGGAGAGAAGCGAAGUGGACUAAUUUUCUCAGACUCCUGAGAGAAAAUUCCCGCGUAUCAAAGGCAGUGCCAUAAGCCGCACGAACAGCGCUGCUGGACAGCUCCACUUCGGGCUGUGGCGAGUCGUGGCUGGCUGUUGUCAUGAAGAUGAGAACAGAAGCCUGCCACAUCUGGAUUGCAAACACUUUUAGGGGUCCACUUUCCAGCCUCUGGGAGGCACAGGGGUAUCCACAGAGAUGGAGGAACCAGACUGCUCGGUCCUUCUUGGUUGACCCCUUCCUUUCCUUUCCAUCCUCACCCCCAGCUCCUCCCUCCUCAACCUCACCAAGUCUUCGACCUCUGGGUAUUUGCCUAAGCACAUCCUUCCUUCCUGCCUGUUAAACUUUUAUUUAUACAUAGAAGCCUAGCUCAAGUCACACCCCUUGCACUCUCCCUGGCUGAAUUGGUUACUUUCUGCUCAAGGUUCCCACAGUAUUUUGCAUCUUCUUUGGCUUCUCAUAUUCUAUGGCCUUUGUUUGCUUUAAGAGUCUGUUUCCCACACUAGGUAGAGAAGGAAGUAGUCAGCUCAAUUCCCCUCCAGAGGUCCAAGGACCUGGUAGAUUCUGAUGCUUGGUUGCUGCUGCCUUUUGAAUGAACAAUAAGUUGUGACGUCUAAGCUUUUGGCAACCUCAGCUUGAUUUUCUUUUGUAUUCUGCAUUUGGUACACACUCCCAAGGAAGCUUGGAGAGACCAGUGGGGAGCAACUUGGAGGACUAGUGAGAUGCUGAGACUCCUGGAAUUUUGCCCAAUGCAUGUUUCUAUCAAAAAAGUAGCCUGUACCCAGAAAAAAUAUCUCCCCAGGCCAAACCUGGGUCUUAGAGAGAGAAAGGGCUUGCUGAAGACAGUAGACCUCAGUCCCAAAGACUUGUACAAGGCCUUUUGGUGCCAAGAUCACUCCCUCCUCAACCCUUCCAAGCCCUGUAAAUGUUGGUAUCUUCCCCAGCAUCCAAAUCAGACCAGAGGGAUCUGUGCCAGUAGUUCCAGCUUCCCUGUCAUUCCAUGCACCCGCCCUCAAUCUAGAAUGAGUCACCCACCCUCAGGUUCUUUCACUUGAGGAUAACAAAGAUGCUGACUGCAUAGGAUGAUUAUGAGGAUGAAAUGAGAUAUUAUUUAUUA